AGAGUUUGAUCCUGGCUCAGGAUGAACGCUGGCGGCGUGCCUAAUACAUGCAAGUCGAGCGAACAGACGAGGAGCUUGCUCCUCUGACGUUAGCGGCGGACGGGUGAGUAACACGUGGAUAACCUACCUAUAAGACUGGGAUAACUUCGGGAAACCGGAGCUAAUACCGGAUAAUAUAUUGAACCGCAUGGUUCAAUAGUGAAAGACGGUUUUGCUGUCACUUAUAGAUGGAUCCGCGCCGCAUUAGCUAGUUGGUAAGGUAACGGCUUACCAAGGCAACGAUGCGUAGCCGACCUGAGAGGGUGAUCGGCCACACUGGAACUGAGACACGGUCCAGACUCCUACGGGAGGCAGCAGUAGGGAAUCUUCCGCAAUGGGCGAAAGCCUGACGGAGCAACGCCGCGUGAGUGAUGAAGGUCUUCGGAUCGUAAAACUCUGUUAUUAGGGAAGAACAUAUGUGUAAGUAACUGUGCACAUCUUGACGGUACCUAAUCAGAAAGCCACGGCUAACUACGUGCCAGCAGCCGCGGUAAUACGUAGGUGGCAAGCGUUAUCCGGAAUUAUUGGGCGUAAAGCGCGCGUAGGCGGUUUUUUAAGUCUGAUGUGAAAGCCCACGGCUCAACCGUGGAGGGUCAUUGGAAACUGGAAAACUUGAGUGCAGAAGAGGAAAGUGGAAUUCCAUGUGUAGCGGUGAAAUGCGCAGAGAUAUGGAGGAACACCAGUGGCGAAGGCGACUUUCUGGUCUGUAACUGACGCUGAUGUGCGAAAGCGUGGGGAUCAAACAGGAUUAGAUACCCUGGUAGUCCACGCCGUAAACGAUGAGUGCUAAGUGUUAGGGGGUUUCCGCCCCUUAGUGCUGCAGCUAACGCAUUAAGCACUCCGCCUGGGGAGUACGACCGCAAGGUUGAAACUCAAAGGAAUUGACGGGGGCCCGCACAAGCGGUGGAGCAUGUGGUUUAAUUCGAAGCAACGCGAAGAACCUUACCAGGUCUUGACAUCCCGAUGCUAUUCUUAGAGAUAGGAAGUUACUUCGGUACAUCGGAGACAGGUGGUGCAUGGUUGUCGUCAGCUCGUGUCGUGAGAUGUUGGGUUAAGUCCCGCAACGAGCGCAACCCUUAAGCUUAGUUGCCAUCAUUAAGUUGGGCACUCUAAGUUGACUGCCGGUGACAAACCGGAGGAAGGUGGGGAUGACGUCAAAUCAUCAUGCCCCUUAUGACCUGGGC
rnacentral:rRNA from 1 species